rnacentral:lncRNA from 1 species
UCGCGACGUCUCCUGGSCSUUUGUAUCACCUUUCUUCUGUCUCUCUCUCUCUCUCUCUCUCUCUCUCUUUCUCUGUCUCCUGGAGCGAGAAUGAUGCACUGUGUUAAGCAGAGGACACAGUGGCUGCAGUAUUUGUAAGGGGAGGAAGGAGGUGGAUGAUGGAGGAUGGAGGAGGCUCCUUCUCUUCCUCGUUGGUUGGUUGGUUGGUUGGUUCCAACUUUGCAAGGGGAGUUGGGUUGUGGGUUAGCUGAGGGGCAGCUUUCGCGGCGCGUUUUGCAUGGGGUACCCUGCACCCCCAACGCAUC